UUGCUCAUCACUGACACUCAGAGGCGAAAGCUGGGGGAGUGAAAUGGAUUAGAGACCCAUGUAAUCCCAGCCGUAAAUGUUGGAGACUAGACGUUGGAAAAUACCAAUUUUUCAGUGUCGUAGUUAGCGCGUUAAGUCUCCCGCCUGGGAAGUACGCUCGCAAGAGUGAAACUCAAAGAAAUUGACGGGGGUCAGCACAAGUGGAGGAGCAUGCUGUUUAAUUCGAUGCAACACGAAGAACCUUACCAAGGCUUGACAUGCGAUAGAGGUGUAAGAAAUUGCAAUAACUUAGUAUCGACACAGGUGGUGCAUGGCUGUCGUCAGCUCGUGCUGUGAAGUGUAGCGUUAAGUCGCAUAACGAGCGCAACCCUUGUAUCGUAUUGCUAUUACGAUAGACUGCCGAUGAGAAAUCGGAGGAAGGAGAGGAUGACGUCAAGUCAUCAUGCCCCUUAUGCCUUGGGCCACAAGCGUGCUACAAUGGGUAGGACAAAGAGAAGCAAGCUCGCAAGAGUAAGCAAAUCUCAAAAACCUACUCUCAGUUCGGAUUGCAGACUGCAACUCGUCUGCAUGAAGAUGGAUUCACUAGUAAUCGCUGGUCAGCUAUACAGCGGUGAAUACGUACUCUGACCUUGUACACACCGCCCGUCACACCCUGGAAGCUGUCUAGGGCCGAAGUCGUUACUCUAACCUUACGAGGGGGAGGACGCCUAAGUCAGAGACGGUGACCUGGGUGAAGUCGUAACAAGGUA
rnacentral:rRNA from 1 species